rnacentral:tRNA from 1 species
UGGCUCAGUGGUAGAGUGCUUGCCUUGCAUGCAUGAGGCCCUGGGUUCGAAUCCUCAG